rnacentral:rRNA from 1 species
ACGAACGCUGGCGGCGUGCCUAAUACAUGCAAGUCGAACGCUUCUUUUUCCACCGGAGCUUGCUCCACCGGAAAAAGAGGAGUGGCGAACGGGUGAGUAACACGUGGGUAACCUGCCCAUCAGAAGGGGAUAACACUUGGAAACAGGUGCUAAUACCGUAUAACAAUCGAAACCGCAUGGUUUUGAUUUGAAAGGCGCUUUCGGGUGUCGCUGAUGGAUGGACCCGCGGUGCAUUAGCUAGUUGGUGAGGUAACGGCUCACCAAGGCCACGAUGCAUAGCCGACCUGAGAGGGUGAUCGGCCACAUUGGGACUGAGACACGGCCCAAACUCCUACGGGAGGCAGCAGUAGGGAAUCUUCGGCAAUGGACGAAAGUCUGACCGAGCAACGCCGCGUGAGUGAAGAAGGUUUUCGGAUCGUAAAACUCUGUUGUUAGAGAAGAACAAGGAUGAGAGUAACUGUUCAUCCCUUGACGGUAUCUAACCAGAAAGCCACGGCUAACUACGUGCCAGCAGCCGCGGUAAUACGUAGGUGGCAAGCGUUGUCCGGAUUUAUUGGGCGUAAAGCGAGCGCAGGCGGUUUCUUAAGUCUGAUGUGAAAGCCCCCGGCUCAACCGGGGAGGGUCAUUGGAAACUGGGAGACUUGAGUGCAGAAGAGGAGAGUGGAAUUCCAUGUGUAGCGGUGAAAUGCGUAGAUAUAUGGAGGAACACCAGUGGCGAAGGCGGCUCUCUGGUCUGUAACUGACGCUGAGGCUCGAAAGCGUGGGGAGCAAACAGGAUUAGAUACCCUGGUAGUCCACGCCGUAAACGAUGAGUGCUAAGUGUUGGAGGGUUUCCGCCCUUCAGUGCUGCAGCUAACGCAUUAAGCAC